UACGUAGGGGGCAAGCGUUGUCCGGAUUUAUUGGGCGUAAAGAGCGUGUAGGCGGCCAAACAGGUCCGUUGUGAAAACUGGAGGCUCAACCUCCAGACGUCGACGGAAACCGUAUGGCUAGAGUCCGGAAGAGGAGAGUGGAAUUCCUGGUGUAGCGGUGAAAUGCGCAGAUAUCAGGAGGAACACCGGUGGCGAAGGCGGCGACCUGGGUAGAUACUGACGCUGAGGUGCGAAAGCGUGGGGAGCAAACAGG
rnacentral:rRNA from 1 species